rnacentral:rRNA from 1 species
AGAGUUUGAUCCUGGCUCAGGAUGAACGCUGGCGGCGUGCCUAAUACAUGCAAGUCGAACGCUUCACUUCGGUGAAGAGUGGCGAACGGGUGAGUAAUACAUAAGUAACCUGGCAUCUACAGGGGGAUAACUGAUGGAAACGUCAGCUAAGACCGCAUAGGUGUAGAGAUCGCAUGAACUCUAUAUGAAAAGUGCUACGGGACUGGUAGAUGAUGGACUUAUGGCGCAUUAGCUUGUUGGUAGGGUAACGGCCUACCAAGGCGACGAUGCGUAGCCGGACUGAGAGGUUGAACGGCCACAUUGGGACUGAGACACGGCCCAGACUCCUACGGGAGGCAGCAGUAGGGAAUUUUCGGCAAUGGGGGAAACCCUGACCGAGCAACGCCGCGUGAAGGAAGAAGUAAUUCGUUAUGUAAACUUCUGUCAUAGAGGAAGAACGGUGGAUAUAGGGAAUGAUAUCCAAGUGACGGUACUCUAUAAGAAAGCCACGGCUAACUACGUGCCAGCAGCCGCGGUAAUACGUAGGUGGCGAGCGUUAUCCGGAAUUAUUGGGCGUAAAGAGGGAGCAGGCGGCACUAAGGGUCUGUGGUGAAAGAUCGAAGCUUAACUUCGGUAAGCCAUGGAAACCGUAGAGCUAGAGUGUGUGAGAGGAUCGUGGAAUUCCAUGUGUAGCGGUGAAAUGCGUAGAUAUAUGGAGGAACACCAGUGGCGAAGGCGACGAUCUGGCGCAUAACUGACGCUCAGUCCCGAAAGCGUGGGGAGCAAAUAGGAUUAGAUACCGCUAGUAGUCCACGCCGUAAACGAUGAGUACUAAUUGGUGGGUGUCAAAGCUCAGUGGCUGCAGUUAACGCAAUAAGAUCUCCGCCUGAGAUAGUACGUUCGCAAGAAUGAAACUCAAAGGAAUUGACGGGGGCCCGCACUAGCGGUGGAGCAUGUGGUUUAAUUAGAAGCAACGCGAAGAACCUUACCAGGUCUUGGCAUCGAUAUAAAGGCUCCAGAGAUGGAGAGAUAGCUAUAGAGAAGACAGGUGGUGCAUGGUUGUCGUCAGCUCGUGUCGUGAGAUGUUGGGUUAAGUCCCGCAACGAGCGCAACCCCUGUUGCCAGUUGCCAGCAUUAAGUUGGGGACUCUGGCGAGACUGCUGGUGACAAGCCGGAGGAAGGCGGGGAUGACGUCAAAUCAUCAUGCCCCUUAUGACCUGGGCUACACACGUGCUACAAUGGACAGAGCAGAGGGAAGCGAAGCCGCGAGGUGGAGCGAAACCCAUAAAACUGUUCUCAGUUCGGACAGCAGUCUGCAACUCGACUGCACGAAGAUGGAAUCGCUAGUAAUCGCGAAUCAGCAUGUCGCGGUGAAUAAAAUCUCGGGCCUUGUACUCACCGCCCGUCA